CCAUUAAGGAUAGCGCCAGAUCUGGGUAACCAGAUGACGAGGAAAGGGUUUAUCGAAAGGUUCGGCGGGUGACCCUAGGGAGCUGCACUCUACAGAGUAUGAAAAAAACGAUUUGUGAGAAUCGAACAAAAACAUACUCAUGCAGUUGG
rnacentral:ncRNA from 1 species